AAUGAAAUGCCUGAUAAAAGGCUUAUUUUGAUAGAAUAAAUCAUACAUUUAUUAAUUAAUGUUUUCAUUU
rnacentral:tRNA from 1 species